GAAAAGCUCCAAGAUGUUGCAGCCAAUCAGAAGUCUGAAUAGUUCUCACAUUGAAUAAAAGAGUAGAUUUUGCUUGUGCUACAUGAACACAUAGUUGAACUUGAAACCACCAGGCGACAAAAUUUAUGGUUUAGAAGAAACUAGAACUACCUAGGAAACAACUUGGGAAAUUUUCAUUUGUCAUGCAAAUGAAUUGCGCGUCAAUUUUACCUGCAGCUUUCACCAUCUGUUCCAUGAAAAGUAUUUGUGGAGGGCAUUUUCUGUUUGUACAAUAAAAACCCUAAUAUUAG
rnacentral:misc_RNA from 1 species